GCCUCUGUAGCUUAGACGGGCUGGCAGAUUGCCAGUGCGGAGCAAUAGGUGGAGCGCGCGGCUGUUAUCCCGUUAUGCGGGCAUGAAACCGCGAGGUCGGCAGUUCGAGUCUGCCCAGGGGCG
rnacentral:tRNA from 1 species